ACGGUUAAGCAUUCCUCAAGUCCAGAGACAGUAUUAGGAGAGAUUCAGGUUGGCCUCUCCCUGUUUGGGGAAUAAAAGGGAGGGGAGGUAAAGCCCAAUCAAGCUGACCGGAUUCUGUUGUUAUAGCCUAUCUUAAUAAAGUUGAGUUUUAGUCUUGUGUUCAUUUUCAGGGCUGCUCUACCUUGUGUGGCUGACAAAGGCGUUGUCAAAUCAUGCAAGCUUGGUUCGAUCACGUUCAGAUUACGAUUAAGCAGUGAAGCAGAAGCCAGCUCCAUUUGUAAUUACUGGGAAACAAGACAGAAGUGGAGAGAAAUGGAAAAUGGAUCAAUGUUUCUUUUAAUGCCACUGUUGAAUUGGACCAUAACUUAGCUGCAAAAUACUUGGCUGUUAUAAAACCCGAGUGAGCGCAUGGUCCCAGUGGGUACUGCUAGUUAAGGACAGACACACACCAGAUGUAGCAUAUCUUUCUUCUGAAGUCAUUUCAUUAUUUUUGACAUUUCUGAGUAUGAUUUAUCUGUAAUGUAUUUCUGAGGAUUAGCUCAGAUAUCACUGUUUAAAUUGUGCAACUCAAUAAAUAGCACGCAGUCUAAGAUGCUAACUGUAAUCACACAGUUGAAGCCCACCUCUUUAAUGCAUGUUGUGUGGUUGGGGCCAGCAUCUUGAUUCUUUUGAGCACCCCCUUCCCUCGAGAUGCCUCCAAAUGGAUAUAUCUCAAGUGAUAAAGGUAGCUCUCCUAUUUAAAUAGCAAGUUUGGGACCCUCGUAUAUAGUCUUUUGCACUUUGGACUUACAUACAUGGUAACAUCAUGUUCUU